UCCAAACCCUGAAUUCUAGACUGAAUUUCUUGUGACUCCAUUUCCUGUGGAACCAUUGCCCCAUCUCUCUUGUCCAACAUUAGAGCUGUCCUGAAAUGAGCACUUCUUGUCCAUGUAGCCUGGUCAUAGUGCAUUGGCUACACAACUGUUAGUGAUUUUAUCCUAUGAAUUUUUCACCCAGGUCACGACCUCUUGCAGGCUACACUGCACAAAGUUUCCAUUAAAUCAAGUGUUAAAUGAAGAGUUACAAGACAGGAGUGGCGAGAAAAAUAAUGACAGUUAAGAAUGAUGGUCCACACAAAAGCAGUGAAAAGUUGCAGUUCCAGCCCCUAUAAUGGGAGAAUAGAAGGAAUUCAAUCACUUGUACCAAGUGCUUGGUCCAGAGAGAGCCACUAGGGGAAAUAGGGUCCCAGACACAGCAGUCAAAACUGUCAACUUCAAAGGCAAGUUGAGGCACAGUGAGUGUGAAGACAUAGUUUAUUCAAGCCAAAAUGAAGAUGUCACCCAUGAGGAAAGCUGCGAAUAAGCACUGCACUAUUUUUAAAUGUCUAGCAAACAGCUGCCUUUUGUCUGGACAUGUAUGAUUAAUAAA
rnacentral:lncRNA from 1 species